UACGUAGGGUUCGAGCGUUAAUCGGAAUUACUGGGCGUAAAGCGUGCGCAGGCGGUUUUGUAAGCCAGAUGUGAAAUCCCCGGGCUUAACCUGGGAAUGGCAUUUGGGACUGCAAGGCUGGAGUGCGGCAGAGGAGACUGGAAUUCCUGGUGUAGCAGUGAAAUGCGUAGAUAUCAGGAGGAAUACCGAUGGCGAAGGCAGGUCUCUGGGCUGACACUGACGCUCAUGCACGAAAGCGUGGGAGCAACAGG
rnacentral:rRNA from 1 species